UACGUAGGGGGCAAGCGUUGUCCGGAAUCAUUGGGCGUAAAGCGCGUGUAGGCGGCUCGGUAAGUCCGCUCUGAAAGCCCGGGGCUCAACCCCGGGAGGCGGGUGGAUACUGCUGAGCUCGAGUCCGGAAGAGGAGUGUGGAAUUCCUGGUGUAGCGGUGAAAUGCGCAGAUAUCAGGAGGAACACCAAUGGCGAAGGCAGCACUCUGGGACGUGACUGACGCUGAGACGCGAAAGCGUGGGGAGCAAACAGG
rnacentral:rRNA from 1 species